AGUUUGAUCCUGGCUCAGAAUCAACGCUGGCGGCGCGCCUAACACAUGCAAGUCGAACGAGAAAGUGGAGCAAUCCAUGAGUACAGUGGCGUACGGGUGAGUAACACGUGGGUGAUCUACCUUUUAGUGGGGAAUAACCGAGGGAAACUUUGGCUAAUACCGCAUAAUCCCGAGAGGGGAAAGUCGAAAGACGCUGAAAGAGGAGCCCGCGGCCGAUUAGCUAGUUGGUGGGGUAAGAGCCCACCAAGGCAGAGAUCGGUAGCCGGCCUGAGAGGGCACACGGCCACACUGGCACUGAAACACGGGCCAGACUCCUACGGGAGGCAGCAGUGGGGAAUCUUGCACAAUGGGGGAAACCCUGAUGCAGCGACGCCGCGUGAGCGAUGAAGCCCUUCGGGGUGUAAAGCUCUUCCGUCAGGGAAGAUGAUGACGGUACCUGGAGAAGCAGCUGCGGCUAACUACGUGCCAGCAGCCGCGGUAAUACGUAGGCAGCAAGCGUUGUUCGGAGUUACUGAGCGUAAAGGGUGCGUAGGCGGCUUGGUGGGUCUGGUGUGAAAGCCCCGGGCUCAGCCCGGGAAGGGCACUAGAAACUGCC
rnacentral:rRNA from 1 species